GAGAGCCCACCGAUCUCCGCCAGGAGGGCAGAGGUUCCAUGGACUUCCAGCACCCGAGAGAAGCGAAUGUGUGUAACAGGGAGAGCAGUGUCCUGUCUGGAGCUGAGUUCCUUCUCCAGGCUUCUCUCUUCACAAACUCAUUGGAACAAAGAAAAAUCCAAGAGCAGCAAAACAUUGACAAUGCAUCGUAGCAGCUUUAUGAACAAAAUCUGGCUUCACCAGGCUACUAGAAAGAACUCAUUUCCGAUGAAUGUCAUAAAAAUGUAAGAGCUUAAAGAAUAAAUAUGCGUGUGUUUCCUAACAUUGCUAUUUGCCUGCA